AUGGCCCAUUCGUUCGUCCUGCUCGACCGCGACGUUGAUUUCUCCUUCCACGAGGCGGCAACCGGCGGAGGCGGCGGAGAGUCAAUCCGCUCCGCGUGGGAAGGAAUACACGGGCUACAGAGCCAGCAAGAGCUUCGUGACGCAGUCACCGAGUACAUGGGGACCUUCAAGGCACGCGCAGUCAUCGCCGACCCGCCGGAACUCUCCUCCCUCCACAUACUGGUGCCGACGGAAUACCUCGGGCUCCCACCGCAACCCCAGGACAUGCACUCGGCCUUCAUCUCCAGCGCGGACAAGAACCUAGUCGCCAUCUGCGCCGGCGAUUGCCGCCCUGGCACCCGGAUGAUAGAGAUAGGAGGCUACCUGGUCUACGACGCCAGCAAGGACUCCCUCUCCGUGGUCCCCAAGCUUCUCGACCACGACUUUCAUGCGGCCAUCGGGUGCCAGUCGGCCGUCGUCAUGUGCAACGGGGAAGACGGCGGCUAUUUUCUUGCGGAACUCGUCUGGGUCAGGCCAGAACUCUCCCAAGCAGCGAUCUGGCUGUGGAAGUCGUCCGCCCCAGAAUCAGGAUGGGCCUUUCAGCCCACGCGCCUGCACCUUCCGUCGGCCUUCUGCUCUCACUUGUGUUUCUCUUAUCGGGGAUCAACCCUCUGCUGGGUGGACCUGCUCGGUGGCAUGGUGGUGUGUGAUCUGGGCAAAGAGUGCAGCAGCAACUUGGAUGGCCGGAUCUCCGUUUCGUCGCGUUGCCCGCAGAUUGUCCGUCCUAUGAUACCAGCAGCCCCUGUAAUCGGUACCACCUCUGCCCCGAGAAGUUCCGUUCCAUGGCAUGCGUUGGCGACACCAUCAAGCUCGUCUGCAUGGACGGCAAUGUUGAACAAGUGCCGGGCAAAGGCUUUGAUCUCACCGUCUAUGCUCUCUCGCCUGACCUGUCAGACUGGAAAAUAA
rnacentral:rRNA from 1 species